GUCACGGACAACUCCCCCUACCAGCCCCCCAUGACGCAAAUUAAUUAAUCUCUUCAGAUGCUGUUGCAGCAGAGUUGGUCCUAUUCAGAGAAAGCCGGGUGGAGGACAACAGUUGAUGAGCAAGAAAAGCCACAUUGAAGUCUCUGAUUUAUAAAUAUUAUAUUUACGGGAAGAAAAAUAAGAUUAUGGUUAUAGUGUUUUAAAAAAACCCAAAAUGGCACAGAAUAAUAAUACGUUAUUACAUCUCUUCGCGGGGGGAUGUAGCGGCACGGUGGGAGCCAUUGUGACUUGUCCUCUGGAGGUGCUGAAGACCAGGUUGCAGUCUUCAGGCAUCACGCUCCGGCCCAUGUUCCAGGUCCAACUGGGCACUCUCAAUGGUACUGGGGUCAUCAGACCAGGCUCAGGCACCAUUACACCACCUGGCCUGCUGCAGGUCUUACGGUCAAUUCUAGAAAAAGAGGGUCCAAGGUCUCUUUUCCGGGGACUGGGUCCAAAUCUUGUCGGUGUCGCCCCUUCAAGAGCUAUUUAUUUUGCUGCCUACAAGAAGGCGAAAGAGACGUUCAACGGGGUCUUCGUCCCCAACAGCGGAGUGGUGCACAUGUCCUCAGCUGGCUUUGCAGCCUUUGUUACAAACUCCCUCAUGAACCCUGUCUGGAUGGUUAAGACCAGGAUGCAGCUGGAGAGAAAGGCGCGAGGGGAGAAGAAGACGAACGCGCUGCAGUGUGCCCGUAACGUUUACAAGACAGAGGGCAUGAGAGGUUUCUACCGGGGCCUGACGGCGUCCUACGCUGGCAUCUCCGAGACCAUGAUCUGUUUCCUCAUCUACGAGACGCUGAAGAAACGCCUGAACGAAGCGCGCUUCACGUCGCCGAACAGCGAGACGGAAAAAGGGGCGUCGGACUUCCUAGGCCUGAUGAUGGCGGCUGCCUUCGCUAAGGGCUGUGCUUCCUGCAUAGCCUACCCGCACGAGGUGAUUCGGACAAGGCUGCGAGAAGAGGGCAGCAAAUAUCUGUACUUCUUCCAGACAGCCCGGUUGGUGGCAGUGGAGGAGGGCUACGCUGCGUUUUACAGAGGACUCAUUCCACAGCUCAUCAGACAGAUCCCCAACACAGCCAUCGUCCUCUCCACCUACGAACUCAUUGUCCACCUGAUGGGAGACUCCUCGCAAUGAUCAAUGACGACGUGUUCUGGUCGGGCCCAUCAGAUGGAAGGGCAACAUUAUGUAGCUGUGUACCCCAAGGCACGUUGGCUAAGAAAGAGACUAUCGUGCAAUUGCAGAAGAAAGAAAACUUGUUUUUUUUUGUGAACUGUUGGUUUCUCUUGAAGGAAUUUGAAAGCAGGUUUUACUGUUAUCCAAAGGACCUGAAACUGAUUUUUAAGGCUUGCAUCCCAAAUGGAAAACUAUCCCCUAUCCCUAUUUAGGGCACUACUUUUGACCAGAGCCUUAUCGGCUCUAGUCAAAAGUAGUGCACUCUGUAAGGAAUAGGGUGCCAUAGGGCUCUGGUCUAAAGUAGUGCACUAUAUAGGGAAUAAGGGAGCAUUUGGGACUCUGGAAAAAUAAUGUUUUAUUUUAAUGGAAGCAUGUUAUGUUUAUUAAGGUGUUCAGAAUAAUUUUACGCUCUCAAGAAUUGUGGUACUUAUGACAGGACAACUCUAGCCCGAGUCCCAGAUCGGUUUGUGCUGUUAUUACCAACUCCACUGCUGUCAUUUUGAGUUGUAAGUUGGCAAGACGACACAAACAGAUCCGGGAAUCGGGCUAGGACUACUCCAUGUCCCGAGAAGAACUUUAGUUUCCGUUUUGAAUCAUACGAGGUAAAGCGGUCACCUGAAUAGGUGGGCCACUAGUUAAGUUCAACUAAAUUAUUUUCUUGUAUUUGUAUUGUUAAAUGCUGUUUCUCUGACGGUUAUCCAUGUUGAAUGUCCAACGUUCCACCACUUUCUUUGGCUACAGGCUAUUUCAUUACAGGCUAUUUCAUUACAGGUUAUUUCAUUACAGGCUAUUUCAUUACAGGCUAUUUCAUUACAGGCUAUUUCAUUACAGGUUAUUUCAUUACAGGUUGUUUCAUUACAGGUUAUUUCAUUACAGGUUAUUUCAUUACAGGCUAUUUCAUUACAGGCUAUUUCAUUACAGGUUAUUUCAUUACAGGUUAUUUCAUUACAGGCUGUUUCAUUACAGGCUAUUUCAUUACAGGUUAUUUCAUUACAGGUUAUUUCAUUACAGGUUAUUUCAUUACAGGUUAUUUCAUUACAGGCUAUUUCAUUACAGGCUAUUUCAUUACAGGUUAUUUCAUUACAGGUUAUUUUAUUUCACACUAAUGAUGAGAAAGAAGGUGGAGGCAUAGCUAGAGUUGUUAUUUGCCAGGCAAAAGCACACACACACACUCAUGAUAGUUUAUUUAUUCACUACCACACGGUGAAGUUUUGAUUAGAAUUAUCGCUGAGUAAUGCAUCAUAUUUUACAUGACGAAUACAGAUGAAUCUGUAAUAUUGUGUUUGUUAAAGAACAUGGUCAUCUUUUACAAUAUAACGACAACGUGAAUGCUUAUUUGACCAGUGGCUCAAUAAAAUUGCAUCAAUAAGUGGUUUGGUUCAUUUGUUUUUGAAUGGUGUCAUACUACAGUAACCUGGUUGGAAAAUACAGACUUGUGGUGUUAUGGAUUUCACUUGGUGGUCUACAGUAAAAGAUGGACUGGAUUGUUUUUGUGUUAUGGAUUUCACUUGGUGGUCUACAGUAAAAGAUGGACUGGAUUGUUUUGGUGUUAUGGAUUUCACUUGGUGGUCUACAGUAAAAGAUGGACUGGAUUGUUUUUGAAUGGUGUCAUACUACAGUAACCUGGUUGGAAAAUAUAGACUUGUGGUGUUAUGGAUUUCACUUGGUGGUCUACAGUAAAAGAUGGACUGGAUUAUUUUGGUGUUAUGGAUUUCACUUGGUGGUCUACAGUAAAAGAUGGACUGGAUUGUUUUGGUGUUAUGGAUUUCACUUGGUGGUCUACAGUAAAAAGAUGGACUGGAUUGUUUUGGUGUUAUGGAUUUCCCUUGGUGGUCUACAGUAAAAGAUGGACUGGAUUGUUUUGGUGUUAUGGAUUUCACUUGGUGGUCUACAGUAAAAGAUGGACUGGAUUUUUUUGGUGUUAUGGAUUUCACUUGGUGGUCUACAGUAAAAAGAUGGACUGGAUUGUUUUGGUGUUAUGGAUUUCCCUUGGUGGUCUACAGUAAAAGAUGGACUGGAUUGUUUUGGUGUUAUGGAUUUCACUUGGUGGUCUACAGUAAAAGAUGGACUGGAUUGUUUUGGUGUUAUGGAUUUCACUUGGUGGUCUACAGUAAAAAGAUGGACUGGAUUGUUUUGGUGUUAUGGAUUUCACUUGGUGGUCUACAGUAAAAAGAUGGACUGGAUUGUUUUGGUGUUAUGGAUUUCACUUGGUGGUCUACAGUAAAAAGAUGGACUGGAUUGUUUUGGUGUUAUGGAUUUCCCUUGGUGGUCUACAGUAAAAGAUGGACUGGAUUGUUUUGGUGUUAUGGAUUUCACUUGGUGGUCUACAGUAAAAGAUGGACUGGAUUGUUUUGGUGUUAUGGAUUUCCCUUGGUGGUCUACAGUAAAAGAUGGACUGGAUUGUUUUGGUGUUAUGGAUUUCCCUUGGUGGUCUACAGUAAAAGAUGGACUGGAUUGUUUUGGUGUUAUGGAUUUCCCUUGGUGGUCUACAGUAAAAGAUGGACUGGAUUUUUUUGGUGUUAUGGAUUUCACUUGGUGGUCUACAGUAAAAGAUGGACUGGAUUAUUUUGGUGUUAUGGAUUUCCCUUGGUGGUCUACAGUAAAAGAUGGACUGGAUUGUUUUGGUGUUAUGGAUUUCCCUUGGUGGUCUACAGUAAAAGAUGGACUGGAUUGUUUUGGUGUUAUGGAUUUCACUUGGUGGUCUACAGUAAAAAGAUGCUGAAUGUCAACUGGAUUUUCUCACUUCACAACUCCAUACCAAACUACACUUUACAUAGUGGUUCAAUCAAAAGUGAAAACCCUAUGCAAAGACUGAGAAGGAUAUAUAUAUAUAUUACGCCCAACUCUUAUCAAAUGUAGUCUGAUUUACUACAACAUCCUCAUAACAAGUUGCAUCAACUUUGUUUGGAAUGGACCGUGGACACUAGAAUACCGUGAACACUAGAAUACCGUGAACACUAGAAUACCGUGGACACUAGAAUACCGUGAACACUAGAAUACCCUGGACACUAGAAUACCCUGGACACUAGAAUACCGUGGACACUAGAAUACCCUGGACACUAGAAUACCGUGAACACUAGAAUACCGUGAACACUAGAAUACCGUGAACACUAGAAUACCCUGGACACUAGAAUACCGUGAACACUAGAAUACCGUGAACACUAGAAUACCGUGAACACUAGAAUACCGUGAACACUAGAAUACCGUGGACACUAGAAUACCCUGGACACUAGAAUACCGUGGACACUAGAAUACCGUGAACACUAGAAUACCGUGGACACUAGAAUACCCUGGACACUAGAAUACCCUGGACACUAGAAUACCGUGAACACUAGAAUACCGUGGACACUAGAAUACCGUGAACACUAGAAUACCGUGAACACUAGAAUACCGUGAACACUAGAAUACCGUGAACACUAGAAUACCCUGGACACUAGAAUACCGUGAACACUAGAAUACCGUGGACACUAGAAUACCCUGGACACUAGAAUACCGUGGACACUAGAAUACCGUGAACACUAGAAUACCGUGAACACUAGAAUACCGUGGACACUAGAAUACCCUGGACACUAGAAUACCCUGGACACUAGAAUACCGUGGACACUAGAAUACCGUGGACACUGGAAUACCGUGAACACUAGAAUACCGUGAACACUAGAAUACCGUGAACACUAGAAUACCGUGAACACUAGAAUACCGUGGACACUAGAAUACCGUCGACACUAGAAUACCGUGAACACUAGAAUACCGUGAACACUAGAAUACCGUGAACAC